UUUAACGUCAUAGAUGAUGGAAGUACUCAAAUGCUCGUGUGAUUUUUGGUUUAACAUAUUAUAUUUAGUUAUAGUGAUUUGUGAAGUAUUGGAGAGCUAAGAAUAGAAGAAGCGAUAUAUUUAGUAUUUCUACAGAAAGAUGACCCUCCCAAAAACGAUUGAUGGACAAGGAUAUUUCGAUAAGUUUUAUGACUUAGAACACGGGAAAACACUUCUUAAUGGUGUUACAAUUGAAGAUCCUGGUUACGUGUUACCUUCAGAACAUUCUAAUGUCACAAAGGAUAACAUAAUAGAAAAUAAUGGUCAACUUUAUCAAAAUAUAAGUGGAUCGCUUUUAAAUGAAUAUCCUAAAGAGGUCAAUACCACAGCUUCUCCAGCAAACGCCACAAAACAAUCUCAUGAUGCUCCAUUUCUUUUAAAAGAAAAUAAUAAUUCAACCAGAGCCAAUUUCGAAAUGAGUAACAAUAAUUUGACAACAAUGUGCCAAAAUAGACAAAUGCAUGUACCAUGUACAGUUAGCAAUAUUUAUUCACAAAAU